AUUGAACGCUGGCGGCAUGCUUUACACAUGCAAGUCGAACGGCAGCACGGGCUUCGGCCUGGUGGCGAGUGGCGAACGGGUGAGUAAUGCAUCGGAACGUGCCCAUGUUGUGGGGGAUAACUACGCGAAAGCGUGGCUAAUACCGCAUACGCCCUGAGGGGGAAAGCGGGGGAUUCUUCGGAACCUCGCGCAAUUGGAGCGGCCGAUGUCAGAUUAGCUUGUUGGUGAGGUAAAGGCUCACCAAGGCGACGAUCUGUAGCGGGUCUGAGAGGAUGAUCCGCCACACUGGGACUGAGACACGGCCCAGACUCCUACGGGAGGCAGCAGUGGGGAAUUUUGGACAAUGGGGGCAACCCUGAUCCAGCCAUGCCGCGUGAGUGAAGAAGGCCUUCGGGUUGUAAAGCUCUUUCAGCCGGGAAGAAAACGCACGCUCUAACAUAGCGUGUGGAUGACGGUACCG
rnacentral:rRNA from 1 species